CAUUAAUCCAAAGAAAAAAAAUAAAUACUCUUAAUCACUUAAUGAAUGGAACCGCAGGCCUCUCGUAGAAGUUGGUGUCAUUUGUAUCCAUAUUCCAAGUAACAUAUCCUCAAAGUUUUAAAUUUGAGUUGCAUCACAAGGCAGGUGGUUCAGGAGUUAGAUAUGUCGGGUAAUAUGUCCGGUGAUUUCUCAGUUUUAUUGGUAGUGGUUCUUUUGUGGUCAUGACUAAUUCUAGUAAAUAGAACAACCUUGCUCCUAUUAAAAAUGAAUAUUGUUGCUAUAUUCAUCUCACGGAUGGCUCCAAUAAUGCUAUGUCGAUCCUUGCAAGAUUUUGUGUGGCUUCUCUCGGUUUCAGAGUGGAUGUACAACCUGUGAUGGAAACAAGAAAGGUCAGAAGUGUUAUCGGCUGAGAACCCAGUAAUACUCUCUGAUUCAUAAGUUAGACACGUAGUCGCGAUAUUACUAUGAAACAUUGUGAGUAUAUUUAGAAACGUGACUUGUGUUUUCCUUUUUCCUUGUUUGUUAGUGUUGCGUGGUUUAUAUAGGUGGUACAUGGGUAAGGUAAUUGAUCUUCCCUAUAUGCUUUCUAAAGUCGACGUCUUAUCUUAGCUGAAUCAUAUCAACUCGUGUAGUGGUGUUCAAAGAAAGUGUUUUGUUGUUGUCAUUCUUACCUCAUUCUGGUUUAUUUGGAGGUUUCGUAUGCCACAUUAUUUCAACCUAUUAUGUGUAAACAAGUUUAUCUUUGUUUGAGAAAAUCAUUACGUAGUCAUUCUUUUGGUUUUUUUAAUGUAAAUAUUGUAUUAAAAAACUAGCAGGUGCUAGGCAAAACAAAGUAUUAUAUGGAGUUUAUUGCAAUAAAAAGGGUUUGAAACUAAACAAAACAA